rnacentral:rRNA from 1 species
GGCGUAAAGAGGGCGCAGGCGGAGAUGUAAGCCAGACGUGAAAUCCCGAAGCUCAACUUCGGAACUGCAUUUGGAACUGCAUCCCUUGAGGAUAGGCGGAGAGAACGGAAUUCCACGUGUAGCGGUGAAAUGCGUAGAUAUGUGGAAGAACACCCGUGGCGAAGGCGGUUCUCUAGCUUAUUCCUGACGCUCAAGCCCGAAAGCGAGGGGAGCGAACAGGAUUAGAUACCCUGGUAGUCCUCGCCGUAAACGAUGUGUACUUGGUGUAGUCGGUCUCAACCCCGAUUGUGCCGAAGCUAACGCGAUAAGUACACCGCCUGGGGAGUACGCCCGCAAGGGUGAAACUCAAAAGAAUUGACGGGGACCCGCACAAGCAGUGGAGCAUGUGGUUUAAUUCGAUGCAACGCGAAGAACCUUACCCAGACUUGACAUCUAGUGGACCGCUCUAGAGAUAGAGUUUCUUGUAUAAGUCACUAGACAGGUGCUGCAUGGCUGUCGUCAGCUCGUGCCGUGAGGUGUUGGGUUAAGUCCCGCAACGAGCGCAACCCUUAUCGUUAGUUGCCAACACGUAAUGGUGGGAACUCUAACGAGACUGCCUGGGUUAACCAGGAGGAAGGUGAGGAUGACGUCAAGUCAGCAUGGCCCUUAUGUCUGGGGCUACACACGUGCUACAAUGGUCGGUACAAAGGGCAGCGAAACCGUGAGGUCAAGCAAAUCCCAUAAAGCCGGCCCCAGUUCAGAUUGCAGUCUGCAACUCGACUGCAUGAAG